rnacentral:tRNA from 1 species
GUGAAAGUGGCUCAGUGGUAGAGCGAUUGCCUUGCAUGCAUAAGGCCCUAGGUUCAAUUCCUCAGCACCACA